rnacentral:rRNA from 1 species
UACAGAGGUCCUAAGCGUUGUUCGGAUUCACUGGGCGUAAAGGGUGCGUAGGCGGUCGGGUAAGUCUGAUGUGAAAUCUCCAAGCUCAACUUGGAAAUGGCAUCGGAUACUAUUCGGCUCGAGGAAUGGAGGGGAGACUGGAAUACUUGGUGUAGCAGUGAAAUGCGUAGAUAUCAAGUGGAACACCAGUGGCGAAGGCGAGUCUCUGGACAUUUCCUGACGCUGAGGCACGAAAGCGUGGGGAGCAAACAGG